GAUAAACUUUUAAAAUUUAUUAUACAAAACAAUAUUACAUAACCUAAAAACAUACACCUCUUUUGCUGCUAUCACUCUCAACCAACCUAAAAAAUCAAGCCGCCUCCAUAAAGAAUUCUACUGUUGUCGUGUCCGAUCGAAUUGUUUAUUCUGCCCGCUGCACUUCUAAAUUCGACAUUGCUUUUUACUGCUCGUCGAGUUCUUCCGCUUCCGCUGCACUUCCAUCGCUGUUGCCGCAUCAAUCCAAAGCUCAAGAAUCAAGAAUAGAAGAAGUCAAAGAUUAUCAUAUAACGACAACAAAGGAAUAGAAGGAGCCCGCGAUUAAAAUAAGAAGGAAAAACGCAAGAGCUUAUCACAUCAAAAUUGGUCUAGCAUCUCCAAAAUAGUCAAAGAUCUUUGUUUUUAUAAUGGGAACACCAUCAGAUAAAACUUGGAUGAAAUCGUUCCGAUUUGGUCCGGAGUAUAUUCAAGGAGUACGGAAUUUUAUGAAUUUUGCAAAAGAUUUUGCUGAUUCAAAUGGCAAAAUUCGAUGUCCAUGCAAGCAUUGCAGUAAUUGUUAUUUGAAGCUAUUACAGGAAGUGAAGAGGGAUCUAUUUCAACAUGGAAUUCUUGAGAACUACAUACACUGGGUGUAUCAUGGUGAGACUUCUCAACCUGAUACAGU